AUCUGCCCACUGUGGCCUCCAAACCUCACUGCCAAAACAGCCAGCUCAAAAGGGCCGCAAGCUGCAUGCAACCAGCAACAAACUCACAGCCACCAUCCAAAACCAAAAUGGCAGUACUACCAGCCACACCACACCAAACAGCUGCACCGGCAACAACAUCGCCACAGCAGCCCAACGACUAUUCCAGCACUUAGGAGCUUAAGCACCAACAGCUGGACUGCAGCCAAAUCAGUGCAUAUCAGCUCGCAUUUAGAAAAAUAGGGAGCAAUGUACAACUACCCUGCAGUCCCACUGCUGACCGUCGAGUUCUUCACGCCCAUCAACUGCUCAACGUACAUCCAGCAAGCUAUAUACAAAAAGCAACAUCCCAUCGGACCAUCAAGCACUUCUACCAAAAGACCACCAGAAAAGGCGAAUUGCAACAAUUGCAACCCUGCUAAAAGCCAACACCUGAGCGGAACAUGUUGCCUUCCCCUGACUGAAAGAGGGACAGCCGCCCAAGCCCAAGCCAUAGCCUAACAACUGCAACCCUGCCAGAAGCCAACACCUGAGCAGAACAUGUUGACUUCUACUGACUGAAAGAAGGACAACAUGAAAGCUAGUUCAGGCGAAUGGCUGCAGGUCGGACCUCAGGUAACCCGCAAGAACCCUUCACCCUCUUUGCAGGAAACAUCUCCUUCGACACGACGGUAGAGGACAUAACCAGAAUAUUUGGGCGAUAUGGUAAGAUUUCAGACACCAUACCUUGGAACUUCAAUAUUAGGAGACGCCUUCAUAAUAUUCCAAUACCCAGAUGAUGCAAAAGCAGUAUUGGAUAUCCUCACUGAGAAGCUGGUGGAUGGUCGAAUUCUGAUGGUAGAAAUGGCAAAGGCCCGUUCGGCCCAAUCACCCAAAACCCAGCCACCGCCAAUUAGGGAUGCCUCAAAUCCCCCUACAACAGUCCAUAAAGUGCCUGAGAAGGAAGGUAGGUCUUUCGUCGAAGUGGUGAAGGGGGCGGACAUCAGACGCACAGAAGGUGUUCGACAAAAUGGGGUGGGCAUCAAACACGCAGAAGGUGCUCGACAAAAUAUUACAGAGAAGUUCACAGUCAAGGCGGAUAACAAAAGUGUAGCUUUGAAGCUGAGGGAGUUGAGCUCAGCUCUGGUGGCUCAUGCAGUGAACAUAGACGUGCCCAUUAUCAGACUAAUUCAGGAAAUUAAACUCUCCAAAUUCUUACCUACACAAGAAGAUGGGCCUUGGGAAGGUAGAGGCAUGGUCACCGAAGUACGUCACUGGGGGCGAGGGAGUAUGGAUUCGGUUCCAUGGCAUCCCGGCACAUGCCUGGAUGGGAUCAAUGUUUAUGGCUCUAGGAAAAACAUUCGGUAAGGUUGUAGAGGUGGACAGGUGUUCGCUUCUGGGUCUAGUCCAAGUUGCAGCUAGAAUCAGAGUAAUUAUCCAACCAGGUACAGAUACUCAUACGCCAAGAGGUCUGGAGGUGGCAGGGAAAACUUUUCCGAUAUGGCCGACAGUUGAAACACCCCACGCCAUUAUUGCGACAGAUAUGAGUCACCCAGGAACGCAAAAGGACAGGCAAUCCACUAGGCAAUGGGUGGAGAAAGCAUUUUACUACCCAGCCCUCCUAGGGCACAAUAGAAAUGUCAACCAUCCCCUUUACUUCCCAACCAUUAUCAUUCCACCAUGGUCUCCCCCAUUCCCCUGUCCAGGAGCAACUCAUACAAUCCUCCACGAAGCAUGAUGAAAAUCCAAAGGAAGAUGCUUUGAGGACACCCUUAACCUCAGCGACCAAAUUGGCCUUUUGCCCACCCCUCAUUCGAUCCCACACGCCCAGCUCCUCCCCAACUAUGCAGUCUGAGCUGCGUCCGACCCAAAUACCAGCCCCAAAAGUCCACCCCCCCCCCCCCCCCCCCCGAAACAGAUCUCCACAACUCAGCAGAUACACAUGGCCCUCCAAUUCAAAUCUCCUACAUCGCCUCGGAAAGCCCUCUCAGAAGGGAAUAGCCCACUAAAGAUAGGGGAAAACUUUGAGGAAGACCCGGAGGAUGCUCAAAUAGAGGCAUAAAAUGCAGUGAAAGAAAGAAGGGUAUUAGGCGGUGGGGGGCUGCUAGCUGUAGACCUCUCCCCAUACUUAAAACCUGUCUCUCCAACUAACACCCUUCUAGGCUCACCCCAAAUAGUCCCAAUAAGCUCAAAACCCAAACUCUCCCUGGUCAUGUCUCAACAAGCCUCGUCAGCAUACUUUAGGACAGAGGCAUCUAACAAUGAGCUGCAAAGCAGUCCUUCAAGUAUUCCUCAACGAGAUAGCAGCCACUACAAGAAAAUACCUUUUUACUGGCGCAUUUUUUUACCAGCGGCCAUCUCUAUCUACCGGUGAUAAUGAGAAUCACCGGCAGCCAUCAAAAAUCGCCCCUGAUUUUGAUAGGCACCAGAGGGGAGCCCCUGAAGUCUGUGAGUAGACCAAAAUACUGAGAAGUAGAGGAAUCAUUCCAGUAGCCUUGGAAUAGGGAAUAGAGUGGAAUAGCACAAGUUCUAUAGGAUUGGCAAAAGAAUGUUUCUAGGGUGCACGAAGUAGUGCAACGAGCAAAAGCAUAUUGGUCCUUCAUCUCAAUCUAAUAACAAAAGGAUCAUCACGUUCAAUGGGUUUGCACUCUCAGGUAUGCCUCUGACUAUGCUAUUCAGCUUUAGAAGACACAAUUAGCAGCUUGUCAGCCUUUAGAAGUAUAUGGAUUGCAACAUUGGUCAAUUGAUUAUGUCAUCUACCAUUCAUGUUAUUUUUGCUUGUUGCUUCCCCUAAAUGGCCUCUUUAUGAAAUGGAAGCCACCAAUGCCUUUCUACACAGUGAUCUUCAUCAAGAAGCAUAAAUUCACCAAUAAGAAGGAUAUUAAAGGCUCUAUAUGGGCCAAAACAGAUUCCAAGAUCAUAUCGUUUUCAUAUUGGUACAGUUUUGCUGGUUGGAAGGCUAUUUCCAAAGUUUUGCUGCAUCUCCAUUUAUCACCUUUUCUUCCAAAUACUUGUUAUGUACAUCAUCUAAUGUGAAUGUCUAAUGAAGAACUAAUUUUGCUCUGUUUUUUGGUCAUUGAUCUUGAUCAUACUUGUUACAUUCUUUCUCUGGUUGCAUAAAGCUGGAUCUUCUACACUAAAUACCACUCCUCUUUGUAUGGCUAUACUCUCAAACGAUCCUAUCAAUGUAGCAAUAUAGUGGUCCACAAAUAUGCUCUACAGCAGCCUAUAUAUAUUUUUUAAUUCACUGUUUUGGUAACUUUUGUAUUUUGCUUUUGAUGUCUUGGACUAUUUUAACAGUCUCUUCAUGUUAUGUUUUUUCCAUGGUGCAGGGGACAUCUGAAGCUCACCCUCUUGCCUUCAUCUGAUUUGCGCAUCUCAUACACUGGUGAUGAUGGCUGCACUGAAAGACUGGCAGUCUUGAGUAUAAUUUCGGAGAGCUCAGCAGUGGUAAUUGAAGAAAUUUCUGCUGACGGUUCCAGUCGCUCGUUUCAAGUAAAGCUCCCCGAAGGGCAAGUCUCAUACUUUUGGUGCUCGGAGAAAGUCCGCACUUAUUGGGGCUGAGCUACUCACAAAGAAUCCUAGCAACAGGGAGCCUGCUGAGACUACUAGGUGGAGACCUGGCAUGCAGGGUCGUGGGGGUAGGGGCGCUAGAGGGAGCUAUUCUUCUUGUUACAUCUCCUAUGGUGAUUCAACUCCAUCUGGUUUAUCACCACCAGCAUUGCUAUUUGAUUCCACCGACUUGUCCUUCUUAUCUACAACGUCAAAGCUGUUAUCAGCAAUUUCUUCAGUGGCUUUUUUUUUUUUUUUUUUUUGUUAGCUUGUUAGUACACCCACUGUCAGAUCACACUUCACUGUUAGCCACCCCCACCAGGGAAUUGAUGCCAAGACCUCAGUGUUGAAACAAGGUAUCUUUCACUCAGUCUACCACUUGACGUAUGGAUCUGGGUGUUCCCCAGUGGCUGAGUCUUGUGCAUUGCCUUCCUGAACUCUGUCAUUCUCUUCUUGUUCUGAGAGAUUAUUCACCUCAACAUUUGCUUGCUCAAGCAAUGCUGCCAUCUUUUGAGCGGCAAUUCUCUUGUAAUGGGCCUCAUAGUAAGCUUUCUUCUGAGCAACAGAGCCCGGGGUGGAGUAUUUCUGCACCUCUUCCAAGUGCCUGUUAUGGGAGAAGGAUGACCAUUUUCCCCAAUCUAGAGAUUCUGACACAAACCUUCCAAAGGAGAUGGAUCCUUCCAAUACAGGGGCUGGAUACACCUGUUGACUGUGGUGAUGAAGGGAAUUGUCAGUAGAAUGAGAGCAGCAGUUUUGUUGCAUAAGACAAGCUGAUUCUGCCAUUGCCUUUGCCUUUGCCUUUGCCUUUGCCUUUGCAGCAGCAGCAAGAAUGAACAAGGAAGCCCUCUAGAAUCUUGCCUCUCCUUUGAGAAAAAAUUGUGACCAUCAAUUUGUAGCAUUCUUGGAUUGCAGAAUUGCAAGUAUAACAGGUGUUAUAUAUAUAUAUAUAUAUAUAUAUAUAUAUAUGCAUUACCUGUAUGAAUAGGGGAUUUGAUUUGGUUUCCAUAAGCAUUUUUCAUAUCAUUUUUACUACAAGCUUUUAGUUUUGAGUGGUGAAAUAAUACUGGAGUUGUAUUGAGUUAAUGCAAAUAUCCCUCGUGGUGAUAUUUGCCAGCUACUUCUUGCUGUGAAUGCUAAGGUUUCAUCAUUAUUUUUUGUCACUUCCUCUUGGCUAAACUGAAUUCUUUAGGACUGAAACUACAAAAUCUGUGGGUACUGUUGCUAAGAUGUAGUUAAAGAUCUGUGGAGGAUGCUGAUAUUGUCUAUGCAGAUAUGCAACAUGCUGAGAAAGAAACAUGAUUGGAAAAUGCUUGUUGUUUUAAUACACGCAGUAUUUUUAGGUGCAAGUUGUUUGAUAUGCUUGUUACCUUCUUUGCAAUCAGAGUGGAAAUGCACCCUUCCUAGCCAUUUGUCUAUUGGAGCAAGUGAUUUGAUCACCCGGAUCCUUGUUGUGGAUCCAAUUAAGCUAAUGACAAUUCCUGAGAUUCGUCAACAUCCAUGGUUCCAACGUCAUCUUCCUGGCUACUUAGCCGUUCCUGCAAUAGAUGUGUUGCAAAGAGUGAAACAGAGGAAUUUUAUGGUUCUGCCAGCAACAACCAGGCAACGGUAUGAUCUUCCUUAUUUUGUCCGUGAUGCCAUUCCUUUGUUUAUAGUUGCAUAUGAAGUUGAAGUUGCAUUCUAUAGUUCUAACAUGUAUUAGUUAGGGAACAAUUGUUUCUCGAUUAUGAGCUUGAUGAAUAAGUUGGCAUUCAUAAUCUUCAUAAAGGAAAAGAAUCUCUGAUGAAUAUAUUAAUGUAUGGAGUGGUAAGCUAAUGCAAACGAACUUGACAAUUAGGAAAUGGUUCCUGUGAACUCCUACAAAUACAUCAGCACCGGGCUCCGCCAAUACGUAAAAUGAAAAGAAAUGCCAAAGCUCUACUCUUCUUUCAGUUCCUGAAUUGUUUGAAUUCUAGUCUCCCAAACAGGCCACUGAUUUUGAUUUUGUGCAUUCGGAAACUGUUUCCGGGUACAACUUAGACAACACCAUGCAUGGUUUCUACAUCGCACCAGCUUUCAUGGACAAGCUUGUUGUCCAUGUCAGCAAGAAUUUCAUGACCUUGCCUAACAUUAAGGUUCCACUCAUUCUGGGUAUUUGGGGAAGUAAAGGUCAGGGAAAAUCAUUCCAAUGUGAACUUGUCUUUGCCAAGAUGGGAAUCAAGUGAGUUAUCUCUCUUGCCUUUUCUUGUUCCAUUUCUCUGGAAAAUGCUUUGAUAUUGAGGGGCUGAGUAUGGCUCAUGGCCAUUUCUGGCGUAGAGAAAAAUAGUUUAUGAUUUAUGAAUUUCUACUCUUAAAACAACUUACAAAAACAAAAAAUGAGAAUUGGGGCUUGUUUAUGUUGUUUUAGAAAGGAGUUCUUUCAUAUCUGCGGCAGCAUCGUUUUAUGAUUUUUGAACUUCUAAUAGGAGUAGAAUUCCCGAAGAAUUGCGAAUUGUUUUCUUCAUGGUCUGUGCAAAAUGCAUUCUUAAUUACAACACUGAAACUAACAUCAAUCAGCAUGGUCAAUUGGUGUCCAAAAAUGAUGAGCAAGGUGUUGUGAGGCUAGGAAUCUGUUUGGUGGUAUGCUUUUCGAAAUGGUAGGAUUUUUCUUGUAUUUUCUUCAGUAUAUUGAAAUGGGGUUGCUAAUCCCCAUCUUUAGAUUCUGAUCCACUAUCCUUAAGCUGUCAGAUUUUCAAUACCCCAGAGAGAAUUGCUGCCCCCUUCCUUUGAUUUGAAUGGUUGAACACUAUCUUUAGAAAAUAAGCAUUAUUUUGUAAUAUUAAUAGCUAGGACAUGGUUGUGUUGGAAUCCAGCAAAGAGGAAUGCUAAAAUGGUACCCAUGUGCUGUAAUGGGUUUGAAACCAUUAGGAAUGCUGAAGGGUGUCAUGCCCUGGGCUCCACAGCCUAUGUGAACCAAUCAAGGCGCGUGUGGCCAACAUGCACAUGGGUCCCACAUGCACACUCACUGCUAAGGACUAGCCUUCCUCUCCUAAUUCAUCUUUUUAUUUUUAUU